rnacentral:rRNA from 1 species
CAGUCGUACUUGCGGGCAAUCAGCCUUUUGGGUGUGAUUAUGUGGGGCGUGAGGAGUUAAUCACCCUCAUCUUUGCAUAUUCGUGCACUUUGGGUGUACUUGCUCGUGUGGUAGGUUAACAUCAAUUUUGGUCAUCAUAAAAUGGCCGGAGGAAUGUAGCUUCGGUCUCGUAUUGAAGUGUUAUAGACUCUGGUAGAUGUGACGAUUGGGAUUGAGGAUUGCAACGGAUACCCUUCGGGGCUACUCGUCUGAUCUCUGAGGUUGCUCCGGUGCCG